GAAAUACCAAGCAAAAAUGUAGUAUUUAUUUGCAGAAAAUAAGAAUUGGUCAAAAAGAUCCAGUGCUUUCGGACCUGAAAUAAUGCAAAGAGAACAAGUUCAUAUUCAUUUAGAAACAACAAUACUGAUGUUUUAACUCAGGAAGAGUUCAGGAAUCAAUAUUUGGUGGAAAAACCAGGAGGUUUUCAGUGGGGUUCAGUGCAGUGGGCUUUUAGUUUUUUACAGAGCUGUAUAAGGUUAAAUGACGGGUGGUCCAGCACUCUUACUGUAAUUUCUGGACUGUAAUCUUCUACUUUUGUCCCCUGGCUAAUAUAUGGCUUUUUGCCAACAUGUUUUGAUUUGAAAGGCUGCACUGCUGCGUGUCGAAGCCCAAGAGCAAAAGGAAAGUGAGGUUGUUCAAUUCCAACAACAAAGAAGACACGUUUGGUGGUUUUAGUGAGUAAGAAAGUAACAAUUUUAUGUAGCUUUCACAGAUAAAAUCACAAAGUGCUUCACAAAGCGUGUAGGAAAAGCACAUCAAACAUAAUGUCGAAUGAAGUUUGUUUGAUGCAUUCACUGAUUGCAGGAGGAAAAUAGCAAUCAAUGAUUUUUCCCUGUAGGCUACUGGAUUUAUUUAUUUAUUUUUUCUUUUUAAAGCAGUCAUGUUACAGGUGUUUGGAAAAAGCAUUUGGAGUUUUUAUUUCACUAAAAGUAAGAAAAAAAAGUUCUAUGUAAAUACCUUAUGUUACAAUACGGACACCUACAACUUACAGACAAGUGCAGUCAUUAUAUGUACCUUUUUUUUCUUUUCCAAAGUUAGAGGGUGGGCUAUGUUCAGGUGCGCUUCGCAGUCCUUAAAUUACGCUACUUCUUUUGGUUUUACUGGGAAGCUAAUAUCUGUUUCCUAAUCUAUAGGUCAAAAUCUACAAAGGUCAUAAACUUGCUACUUGGUUGGCCAUGGAUUUGCAGUCAUAUUGUUCUUGCUUCCUCUUGCUACUGAUCAAUCUGUUGGUAAUUUAGUGAACUGAAACUCUGAAUUAAGGUCAAGAGACAUUUCAUUUAGCAGUUUCUCAUUUCAUAGCCGUUUCUGUUCUUCUUAUGUAUGCCCACCUUUUAUCUUGGAUGAUAUUCCAAGUUGGGCACAAAGCAGGUGUUGUUUCCUUUAGAAAUCUUUUUAGACCAAACUAGUAUAAUCCAGAAAGUAUACUCUCCCCAAAUCUACAGGCAGAGUUUGGGAAAGGUGUCUAAGGCAGAUGAAGAACUGAAAUUUGUGCUUUGCUUUGUUGCUGAAAUUGAUCCAUAAUCAAUGAAUAUCAGAAAUGUUGUCUGAUUUAGGAUUGUAUUGUUCAGAAUCUGAAUGAUACCUCAAAUUUUAUGUGUUAAGUUCAUUAAUAUUCCCUGGUAACCUGCUUUUCAAACCCUGCAUCAUCGUGACUCAUCCAGGUUUUGUUUAGAUUUUGGUUUAUUGGGUUUUUUCUGUGUUUAAAGUUUAGUACAUUUGUUAUUUGUUCUCCUUAGUUAUUCUUAUUUUGAUUAGAUCAGCCUUGUUUCUAUUUUAGUUUAGUUCAGUCCUUCUUAGUGUUUCCCGUU